rnacentral:siRNA from 1 species
CAAGUUUAUGUAUGAUCGAUAAU